GGUUUGUAGCUCAGUGGUAGAGCACUUGCCUAGCAUGUGUGAGGCCCUAGGUUCAAUCCCCAGCACCA
rnacentral:tRNA from 1 species